GCGGAAAAUACGGCGCCGUCCUCCUCUCAAUCGCAGCCAAGCGGCGGCCACAGCUCACCUCCCACUUAAAGGGCGAGACUGUGACUCCAGGUUGAGGCUGUCGGGACAACCCGAGUGGCGGGAGGAGAGAAAGACCGAGUGGGAUGGGGCGACGGCCCACACAGCCAGAGCAUCGAUGGCCAUUCUCCGUCCACUUUUCGGCGAACACCUCAUUUCCAGUUCCUGUGCACUGGACCGGUUGAAGGAAGCCAUUUGCGUGGAAGUCGCCCAUGUUGGAGAGAGUGGAAGCCAACGUCCAUCAACGCCUUCAGAAACGCAUCAAUGAAAUGGACAUCACAUGAUUAAUGUUGUUUUCCACACUUGAUUGUGUCAAAUGGUAUUUCACUAAGAACACAUUGAUGUCAAUAAAAUUUGUUUGCAGCUGC